CUAAAUACGACUUGGUGACCGAUAGCGCAUAGUACCGUGAGGGAAAGGUGAAAAGAACCCCGGGAGGGGAGUGAAAGAGAACCUGAAACCCUAUGUUUACAAGCAGAGGGAGCACGAUCUAGGUGCGACCUUGUACUUUUUGUAGAACGGACCGGCGAGUUACGAUUUCCAGCGAGGUUAAGGGAUAGAAGUCCCGGAGCCGGAGCGAAAGCGAGUCUGAAGAGGGCGAAUAGUUGGAGGUUGUAGACCCGAAACCGGGUGAUCUAUCCAUGGCCAGGUUGAAGUGAGCGUAAAAGUUCAUGGAGGACCGAACCAGACGUCUGUUGAAAAAGGCGGGGAUGAGCUGUGGAUAGGGGAGAAAUUCCAAUCGAACCCGGAGAUAGCUGGUUCUCCUCGAAAUAGCUUUAGGGCUAGCCUCGUAUUAGAUUACCGGAGGUAGAGCACUGAAUGGGCGCGGGAGCCACAAAGCUUACCAAACCUUAUCAAACUGCGAAUGCCGGAUAAUUGAUGUACGGGAGUCAGUCCAUGGGAGAUAAGUUUCAUGGGCGAAAGGGGAACACCCCAGACCGUCCGCUAAGGUCCCGAAGUGCAUGUUAAGUGGAAAAGGAUGUGUAAUUGCACAGACAACCAGGAUGUUGGCUUAGAAGCAGCCAUACAUUGAAAGAGUGCGUAAUAGCUCACUGGUCGAGUGGUUGUGCGCCGAAGAUGUCCGGGGCUAAAACAUGCCACCGAAGCGGCGGAUUGCCUGUUGCUAUCUCUGUUAUCUGAGGACCCUCUCCCGGCUGAAGGCAGGGGAGGGGAGAGAAGAGGGAAGCGAAGGAGAAGCGAGAGAGAAGAGUGCCUGAAGCCGGGCAGAUUUCCUCAAGCGAAGACGCGACACCGAAGAGAAGGAUAAUGGAGAUAGCAACAGGCAGUGGUAGAGGAGCAAUGUGUAUGGGAAGAAGCACGACCGGGAGGACGUGUGGACUGUACAGAAGAGAGAAUGCCGGUAUGAGUAGCGAGAGCCAUGUGAGAAACAUGGCGGUCGAAAGCCCAAGGUUUCCUGGGGAAGGUUCAUCCCCCCAGGGUAAGUCGGGGCCUAAGCCGAGGGCAGUAGCCGUAGGCGAUGGACAGCAGGUGGAGAUUCCUGCACUACCAAUGGAAUGAAGCAGUGACACAGAAGGAUAGCUCGAGCGCGGUGAUGGUCAACUGCGUGAAAGCGUCGAGUGUGGUGUUUAGUGAAGUACGGACACCGAGAGGCAUGAGGCGCGAGAGGACCGAAGACAAGUAGGGAAGCGAGUGAUUUCACGCUGGCGAGAAAAGCUGCUAGUAUAUCUGUUUGGUACCCGUACCGUAAACCGACGCAGGUGGGCGGGGAGAGAAUCCUGAGACGAACGGGAGAACCCUUGUUAAGGAACUCGGCAAAAUGACCCCGUAACUUCGGGAGAAGGGGUGCCUGCUGCGAGGCAGGCCGCAGAGAAGAGGCCCAAGCGACUGUUUAUCAAAAACACAGGUAUCUGCGAAAGCGAGAGCUGACGUAUAGGUGCUGACACCUGCCCGGUGCUGGAAGGUUAAGGGAAAAUGUCAUCGCAAGAGAAGCAUAGAACCGAAGCCCCAGUAAACGGCGGCCGUAACUAUAACGGUCCUAAGGUAGCGAAAUUCCUUGUCGGGUAAGUUCCGACCCGCACGAAUGGUGUAACGAUUUGGGCGCUGUCUCAACAAGGGACCCGGUGAAAUUGAAGUAUGGGUGAAGAUGCCCAUUACCCGCGACUGGACGGAAAGACCCCGUAGAGCUUUACUGUAACCUGAUAUUGGAUUUCGGUAACUGAUGCACAGGAUAGGUGGGAGGCUGUGAAGCCAGGGUUUCGGCCUUGGUGGAGCCACUGUUGGGAUACCACUCUUCUGUUGCUGAAGUUCUAACAUCUGUCCGUGAUCCGGCAGAUGGACAGUGUCAGGCGGACAGUUUGACUGGGGCGGUCGCCUCCGAAAGUGUAACGGAGGCGCCCAAAGGUACCCUCAGAAUGGAUGGAAACCAUUCGCAGAGUGUAAAGGCAGAAGGGUGCCUGACUGCGAGACUGACAAGUCGAGCAGAGACGAAAGUCGGGCUUAGUGAUCCGGCGGUAUCGAGUGGAAAAGCCGUCGCUCAACGGAUAAAAGCUACCUCGGGGAUAACAGGCUGAUCUCCCCCAAGA
rnacentral:rRNA from 1 species